CACAAGCGGUGGAACAUGUGGUUAAUUCGAAGCAACGCGAAGAACCUUACCAGGUCUUGACAUCCCCUGACAACCCGAGAGAUCGGGCGUUCCCCUUCGGGAACUGUAAGACAGGUGGUGCAUGGUUGUCGUCAACUCGUGUCGUGAGAUGUUGGGUUAAGUCCCGCAACGAGCGCAACCCCUAUGUUUAGUUGCUAGCGAGUAAAGUCGAGCACUCUAGACAGACUGCCGGUGAUAAACCGGAGGAAGGUGGGAUGACGUCAAAUCAUCAUGCCCCUUAUGUUCUGGGCUACACACGUGCUACAAUGGCCGGUACAAACGGAAGCGAAGCCGCGAGGUGAAGCAAAUCUGAUAAAACCGGUCUCAGUUCGGAUUGCAGGCUGCAACUCGCCUGCAUGAAGUCGGAAUCGCUAGUAAUCGCAGGUCAGCAUACUGCGGUGAAUACGUUCCCGGGCCUU
rnacentral:rRNA from 1 species